GAAUUUUGGACAAGGGGCGAAAGCCUGAUCCCGCAAUGCCGCGUGCAGGAAGAAGGCCUUCGGGGUGUAAACUGCUUUGGUACGGAACGAAAAGCUUUGGGUUAAUACCCUGGAGUUGGAACGGUCCCGUAAGAAAAACAACCGGCUACCCUCGUGCCAGCAGCCGCGGUAAUACGUAGGGUGCAAGCGUUAAUCGGAAUUACUGGGCGUAAAGCGUGCGCAGGCGGUUUUGUAAGACAGAGGUGAAAUCCCCGGGCUCAACCUGGGAACUGCAUUUGUGACUGCAAGGCUAGAGUACGGCAGAGGGGGGUGGAAUUCCGCGUGUAGCAGUGAAAUGCGUAGAUAUGCGGAGGAACACCGAUGGCGAAGGCAACCCCCUGGGCCUGUACUGACGCUCAUGCACGAAAGCGUGGGGAGCAAACA
rnacentral:rRNA from 1 species